rnacentral:lncRNA from 1 species
UCAAAGCUUUAAAAUCCAGCAGAAGUAAAAUUUCCAAGUGGGAGGGAAGAGGAUCAACAGGAGAAUCUGCAAGAGUAAAAGAGGAAGAAGAUGUGUGCUGCAUGGCACAAAAUGAAUCUGCAAAGCAUCUGGGAACUGCAGACCCUACUGAUGCCUGGAACUCACUGGAGUCAGCAUGUCCAGGCAGUCAUUGUAGCAAGUCAGAGUGGUGUGAUGAAAUGCUUCAGGAGAAAAACAUUUCACCACAGCCUGGUUCACUCAGAUACCUUGCCAGGGGGAACCAACAUCUCACUCGGGCCUCUGAUAUUGUAACUGUGGGCCUUUAAGAAACAACGGAAAACCCAACUGAAUAAAAACUGACCUCCUUUGUGGCUGCCCUGAUGGAAGGGGCUCAGGAGCAACAGCCUUCAUGGUGCCCACCCUCUGGGCCAGAACAACGGAUGCCCCACAACUGAGUUUAGUGCCUCCAAGAACCACAGCACUGUGAAGAAUCUGAUAGUCGAACUGAAUGAAGCCAAGUCCAGUCUUUACGGAAAAAUUUACACAACACUUCCAUUAAAGCUCGGCCAGCCAGCCACAUGCAGGACCCUGAAGCAAAUAAGAGGCAGUGACCUGAGAAGCUACGUAUUGACACGGCGCUACCACGGGUGGAGGAGCCUGCAUUGCUGAAUCACAGGAUGAAGGCGAAUCCCUGCCAGCCUCCAUCCAUCUCUGGGGUGCUUAGCAGAAUCCUCAGCUCACAAGAUGAAUAAAUGCAGACUAAAUGAUGCACAAAUAAUCUUCACACACAACCAUCAACACAUGGAAAGACUGCAGGACGGCCAGAUCCCAAGCUAACAAACAGGCAGAUAUCAGAUUUAUGAGUCAUGGGGAAGAUGAUGUUUCAAAUGAUCAUCUGAAUGCUGGGUUUCCACCUUCCACCAGGAAGUCAUAUGGGCAAAUUAUCCCGGAUCCUGAAAUAUAUCUUUUGAUAGAAAUGACUCUGGUACUUUCCGCAACUUACUUUCUAUGGAGCACUUUCCUGAAACAAGAUUUGUGUUUAAAUAUUCCUCCUUCUACAAAGUAUUAAACAGUAGUAAGUUCUGCAACGUUGACAAUGGAAACCUGGCAAUGUGCCCUUGUUUGACUAUUAAGGAAUUGCUUCCAAGUACCACAGGGCCUUGAAGACCAAAAUAACACAAUUACCUGGAAGGUGAACAAUGGCAACUUAUCAGGUGUGGUAAACACUUUUUUCCCAAGAAGAUCCUUUAUUCCUUCUGAAUGCACAUCAAGAAGGAGUGAAUACAUAAAUCACAUAUUUGUUAAUAGAAAAAGAAAAAAAAUGGCAUUAUGAUACAAACAGAAAAUGUAACAGUGGAGUGCAGAAAAUACAAAAAAAAGGAAAAAAUAAAUAGAAAAUCUUCAAAGAGGCAAUCUGUUUAAAUCUUCAAGAACUGGAAACAGUAAAAGUGAACAGGUUUUUAUUGAGCAUGUCAAUAAAAUGUUUGCAUAAGACUUUACAAGUGCUUUAUUUCAUGAGGUUUUUAUUAUUGAUCAAAGCAACGAAAAUGAACGGGAAAUUCAUUCUCAUCAAAUCUACAACUUGGGAGGAGGUCCGAUGAAAUCCCUGGAAGCUCACAUUUUUUAUAAAUGAAGAGUUAAUUACCGGUGGGAACAAUGAGAACCUCUGUGGUUCUUCCUGAUGCUUGGAUCCUCCCAGACCUCUGUUUCCAGUCUCCUUCUCCACAACCUGGCCUAUGCGAUGCAAGUGGUCUAACUGAUCUCCGCCUAGGGAAGGAUCCUUCGGCAACUUGCCGACAAGAGAAGCAGCGAUGCCCGAGGCAGGUCCAAAGGAGCACUGACUGCGUGGGAUUGAUUACACUGGAGGAACAAAAGGUCCUGUGGCUACACAAGUUUGAAAAGCAGAAGGUACAAUCAUUGUAUUUCUGGCAGACUUUUCAAAGACUUUAAUAUAUGAAUCCCUCAUAUGAAUCUCCUGGAGGAUUAUAUAAUAGGCAGAUCUCCCAGCCAUUUUCACUGAACAGUUCUUAGAAUUGGUAUCCUUGAAAAAUUUCACCUAACCACUCAAUAUGGUAGCCACUAGUCCUGGGUGGCUAUUGAGCACCUGAAAUUUGCCUAGUCUGAAUUAAGACACAUUCUAAGAAUAAAGCACACUGUAUUUCAAAGGCAGUACAAAAAUAAAAAAGAAUGUAAGCUGUCUCAAUAAUAAUUUUUGUAUUGAAUACGUGUUGAAAUGAUGUUAUUUUUGAUAUAUUGAGUGAAAUAAAUUGUAUUGCUAAAAUG